rnacentral:rRNA from 1 species
AUUGAACGCUGGCGGCAGGCCUAAUACAUGCAAGUCGAGCGGACGAAGGGAGCUCGCUCCUGGCUUCAGCGGCGGACGGGCGAGUAAUGCCUAGGAAGCUGCCUGGUAGAGGGGGAUAAGGUCAGGUAACGGGCGCUAAUACCGUAUACGUCCUGAGGUAGAAAGGGGUGGUUCUUUGGUCCUCACGCUAUCUGAUGAGCCUAGGUCGGAUUAGCUAGUUGGUGUGGUAAAGGCGUACCAAGGCGACGAUCCGUAACUGCUCUGAGAGGAUGAUCAGUCACACUGGAACUGAGACACGGUCCAGACUCCUACGGGAGGCAGCAGUAGGGAAUAUUGGACAAAGGGCGAAAGCCUGAUCCAGCCAUGCCGCGUGAGUGAAGAAGGUCUUCGGAUUGUAAAACACUUUUAGUUGGGAGGAACAAAAGUAAAUGUAUCCCUUGCUGUCUUGACGUUACCAACAGAGUAAGCACCGGCUAACUUCGUG